rnacentral:rRNA from 1 species
AUACGGGGGGUGCAAGCGUUAUUCGGAAUUAUUGGGCGUAAAGGGCGCGUAGGCGGCUCUGUAAGUCAGACGUGAAAUCCCGGGGCUUAACCUCGGAAGUGCGUUUGAAACUAUAGGGCUUGAGUAUGGGAGAGGGAAGUGGAAUUCCUGGUGUAGAGGUGAAAUUCGUAGAUAUCAGGAGGAACACCGGUGGCGAAGGCGACUUCCUGGACCAAUACUGACGCUGAGGCGCGAAGGCGUGGGGAGCAAACAGGAUUAGAUACCCUGGUAGUCCACGCAGUAAACGUUGAACACUAGGUGUAGCGGGUAUUGACCCCUGCUGUGCCGCAGUUAACGCAUUAAGUGUUCCGCCUGGGAAGUACGACCGCAAGGUUAAA